CUGCAGUACAGAUCUCUGGAGAACACAGCCUUGCGGCUACUUUAAUCACUGGAAAGGAGACUUUGGGCUGAUCCUCCCUUGGUGGCUGAACCUUAGUCUGCACCUCGGGCAACCCCUGGACUGUGGGGCCUGUUCUAGAGACCUGCUGCUUGUAGAUCCUGCAGGAGACUUGGAGGUUGUCCAGGCCAGCAACCCUUCCCACAGAUGGUCAAACAGGCAUCCAGAGAAGGCAAGGACCUCAUCAAGGUCACCCAGCACGUCAAGCAAAGGCUGCGGUUGAUGGUCUUGCUGAG
rnacentral:lncRNA from 1 species